rnacentral:hammerhead_ribozyme from 1 species
AUCCAGAUGAUGAGUCCCAAAUAGGACGAAAUGCGCAUCCUAGUUGGAU